rnacentral:pre_miRNA from 1 species
GAAAUCAAGGAUGGGUGAGACCUCUUAAAAAAACAAGAAGGCGACCCAUACUUGGUUUCAG